AUUGAACGCUGGCGGCAGGCCUAACACAUGCAAGUCGAACGAGUGGCGGACGGGUGAGUAAUGUCUGGGAACCUGCCCGAUGGAGGGGGAUAACUACUGGAAACGGUAGCUAAUACCGCAUACCAUCGGAUGUGCCCAGAUGGGAUUAGCUAGUAGGUGGGGUAACGGCUCACCUAGGCGACGACCCCUAGCUGGUCUGAGAGGCUGACAGGCCACACUGGAACUGAGACACGGUCCAGACUCCUACGGGAGGAAGCAGUGGGGAAUAUUGCAAAAUGGGCGAAAGCCUGAUGAAGCCAUGCCGCGUGUAUGAAGAAGGCCUUCGGGUUGUAAAGUACUUUCAGCGAGGAGGCGGUACUCGCAGAAGAAGCACCGGCUAACUCCGUGCCAGCAGCCGCGGUAAUUC
rnacentral:rRNA from 1 species